GACGAACGCUGGCGGCGUGCUUAACACAUGCAAGUCGAACGGAAAGGCCCUGCUUUUGUGGGGUGCUCGAGUGGCGAACGGGUGAGUAACACGUGAGUAACCUGCCCUUGACUUUGGGAUAACUUCAGGAAACUGGGGCUAAUACCGGAUAGGAGCUCCUGCUGCAUGGUGGGGGUUGGAAAGUUUCGGCGGUUGGGGAUGGACUCGCGGCUUAUCAGCUUGUUGGUGGGGUAGUGGCUUACCAAGGCUUUGACGGGUAGCCGGCCUGAGAGGGUGACCGGCCACAUUGGGACUGAGAGACGGACCAGACUCCUACGGGAGGCAGCAGUGGGGAAUAUUGCACAAUGGGAGGAAGCCUGAUGCAGCAACGCCGCGUGCGGGAUGACGGCCUUCGGGUUGUAAACCGCUUUCGCCUGUGACGAAGCGUGAGUGACGGUAAUGGGUAAAGAAGCACCGGCUAACUACGUG
rnacentral:rRNA from 1 species